CCCUUAGAUGUUCUGGGCCGCACGCGCGCUACACUGACGAUGUCAGAGAGUGUCUCCUUCACCGAGAGGUGUGGGUAAUCUUUUAAACAUCGUCGUGCUGGGGAUAGAUCAUUGCAAUUUUUGAUCUUAAACGAGGAAUUCCUAGUAAGCGCGAGUCAUCAGCUCGCGCUGAUUACGUCCCUGCCCUUUGUACACACCGCCCAUCGCUACUACCGAUUGAAUGGUUUAGUGAGGCCUUCUGACUGGCGCCGCUACUCUGGCAACAGAGCGGCGGAUGCCGGGAAGUUGGUCAAACUUGAUCAUUUAGAGGAAGUAAAAGUCGUAACA
rnacentral:rRNA from 1 species